CCUACGGGUGGCUGCAGUGAGGAAUCUUGGUCAAUGGGCGUAAGCCUGAACCAGCCAAGUCGCGUGAGGGAUGAAGGUUCUAUGGAUCGUAAACCUCUUUUAUAAGGGAGUAAAGUGUGGGACGUGUCCUAUUUUGUAUGUACCUUAUGAAUAAGGAUCGGCUAACUCCGUGACAGCCGACGCGGUAAUACGGAGGAUCCGAGCGUUAUCCGGAUUUAUUGGGUUUAAAGGGUGCGUAGGCGGCCUCUUAAGUCAGCUGUGAAGGUCUGUGGCUCAACCAUGGAAUUGCCGUUGAAACUGGGGGGCUUGAGUAUGUUUGAGGCAGGCGGAAUGCGGGGUGUAGCGGUGAAAUGCUUAGAUAUCAGGCAGAACCCCGAUUGCGAAGGCAGCCUGCCAGGCCAUGACUGACGCUGAUGCACGAAAGCGUGGGGAUCAAACAGGAUUAGAUACCCGGGUAGUC
rnacentral:rRNA from 1 species